UACGUAGGUGGCAAGCGUUAUCCGGAAUUAUUGGGUGUAAAGGGUGCGUAGGCGGGGUGUAAAGUCAGGUGUGAAAUCUGAGAGCUCAACUCUCAGACUGCAUUUGAAACUUACACUCUUGAGUGAAGUAGAGGCAAGCGGAAUUCCCAGUGUAGCGGUGAAAUGCGUAGAUAUUGGGAGGAACACCAGUGGCGAAGGCGGCUUGCUGGGCUUUUACUGACGCUGAGGCACGAAAGUGUGGGGAGCAAACAGG
rnacentral:rRNA from 1 species